rnacentral:rRNA from 1 species
ACCUGCGGAGGGAUCAUUACAAGUGACCCCGGUCUUACCACCGGGAUGUUCAUAACCCUUUGUUGUCCGACUCUGUUGCCUCCGGGGCGACCCUGCCUUCGGGCGGGGGCUCCGGGUGGACACUUCAAACUCUUGCGUAACUUUGCAGUCUGAGUAAACUUAAUUAAUAAAUUAAAACUUUUAACAACGGAUCUCUUGGUUCUGGCAUCGAUGAAGAACGCAGCGAAAUGCGAUAAGUAAUGUGAAUUGCAGAAUUCAGUGAAUCAUCGAAUCUUUGAACGCACAUUGCGCCCCCUGGUAUUCCGGGGGGCAUGCCUGUUCGAGCGUCAUUUCACCACUCAAGCCUCGCUUGGUAUUGGGCAACGCGGUCCGCCGCGUGCCUCAAAUCGACCGGCUGGGUCUUCUGUCCCCUAAGCGUUGUGGAAACUAUUCGCUAAAGGGUGUUCGGGAGGCUACGCCGUAAAACAACCCCAUUUCUAAGGUGACCUC